UAAGAACUCUUAUGUCUAUUCUAUAUAAAGUGUGCCUAUAUAACUGAAAUCUUGGUUUAUGAGAAAUUCAUGGGUCACUUUUUAUUUUUAUUUAAUAAAAUAAUAAAAUAUUAUUUAUAUAUAAUAAAAUAAUAAUAAAACAAAUCAUAUUAAUAUUUGAACUCAUAUUAAAUAUUGGCUUAUACCUCAAAAUUUACACUGCCCACAUGUUUCGAAAUUUUUUUUAAACUUUUGGCGGAAGAACAUUACAGAUCAGAUGUCUGUUUUGGGAGAAAAUUUAAUUUUGUUAAGGUUUGAGCUUCCAUAGAAACGAACUCCAAAUCCUUUCUUAUGAAUCAGGGAGUAAUGCCUCCACUAGCAUAAGGAAUCCUUUUCGGAGACGAUAUCGUCCAGUAGCUUCAAAUGAGACACUAUAUAUAGCGAUACACCCUUUGUAUUCAAUAGCUCCUCCUACACAUAAGUUGGUUCUGAUUCCGGUGGCUCAUUGAGUUUCUCAGCAGAAUAAUGGCUUAUCUCAAUAUGGACAGUAAAUUAUGCAAGGAACUCAGCAUCAAUAGCAACAAAAGAACCAACAUGGACAUUCAAUGCAACAAUUUAGGGGCACUUUGUACAAUAUGCAACAGCCUGCAAGAAAGGGUCAAUUGCAGCCAGCUGGUACUGGUUCAGUUUAUAACCCACUUAAUGAGAGAGACUCAUCAGCAAUGUGUUCUGCAGUCUAAUAUGCCUCCGCUGUUGGAUUAAGAAAUGGGGCAUGGGAACAAUAUGCAUGUAUCUUUUCAUCUUUUCAUCUUACUUGGUUUAAGUUUAACAUGGGAUUUAAGUUUCCAAUUAAAAAUUUAGUAAAUUGUGAUCUGAAGUACUCUUACUAAAUCUAUAUAUUCUUUCCAUUUUAAUU